UACGAAGGGGGCUAGCGUUGCUCGGAAUUACUGGGCGUAAAGCGCACGUAGGCGGCUUCUUAAAUCGGUGGUGAAAUCCUGGAGCUCAACUCCAGAACUGCCUUCGAUACUGGGAAGCUCGAGUCCGGGAGAGGUGAGUGGAACUGCGAGUGUAGAGGUGAAAUUCGUAGAUAUUCGCAAGAACACCAGUGGCGAAGGCGGCUCACUGGCCCGGUACUGACGCUGAGGUGCGAAAGCGUGGGGAGCAAACAGG
rnacentral:rRNA from 1 species